GCGGUUGUGGUGGAAUGGCAGACACGCCAUCUUGAGGGGGUGGUGAGCUAACGCUCGUGCGGGUUCAAGUCCCGCCAACCGCACCA
rnacentral:tRNA from 15 species